ACUGCAUACAGUCCUCUGGGUUCUCCAGACAGACCUUGGGCUAAACCUGAAGAUCCCUUACUGCUUGAUGACCCAAACAUCAAGGCCAUUGCAGAGAAGCACAAAAAGACUUCUGCCCAGGUCCUCAUCCGCUUUCACAUUCAGAGGAAUGUGAUCGUCAUCCCUAAGUCUGUCACACCUCAGCGUAUUCAAGAGAACUUUCAAGUCUUUGAUUUUGAAUUGAGUGAGGAGGACAUGAAGACCA